rnacentral:lncRNA from 1 species
GUUCCAGGGAUGCCACCCAGACGGGACACUGCUCAAAGCCGCCUCCAGUCCUGGGAACAAAGAUGUGCUCAGAGCACAGAGAAGCCUGAAAGCAAGACCAUUGGCCAGGGCAAGCCUGAAGCAGGGAAACCCACCGCUGGAACUCUGGGGCCCCACACUCCCUCCUCAGCUCUUCCUACUCCCCCUGCCAUGCGCCGGACUCCGGAUCCAGGGGUGGUCUCUUCCUGGCCAGGGCUGUUCAGAGAGCAGUAGGCUUGGAUUGUUCAGCAAGUAAAGUAUGGAAUCCA